AUGAGAAGCGGCCGUUUAAAUAAAAUCCUGUGAGGAAACCCUAUGGCAUCCAGCUCAUUAUAACGUGGAAAAACUAAAAAUAGGAACGAGUAUUUUGUCGCUUACGAUGGUAGAACAUGGUUUUUGAUGAAGACAACAUCAAAUUCAAGUACUUCGUCCCAAGAGUACAUAAUUCCUAUCGGCAUCGGAAUCGGCGAAUUGUGUUGCAGUAGGUAUAAUUCAACUUGGGACCCGGCAAUGGGAAAGAAACACCUGCUAUGGCUGAAAGGAACCGGUGCUGAGCAGGUUUAUCGAAUCCGGAACGGUAUCUGGUUCUCGAUUCGCCCGAAAUUCUGCACCAGAUGUUGGGUUAUGAUCCGAAUGAUACCCGGUCAAAGAAGGUUGACAGAUUAUCU